rnacentral:misc_RNA from 1 species
UACGUAGGUGGCAAGCGUUGUCCGGAAUUAUUGGGCGUAAAGCGCGCGCAGGCGGUUCUUUAAGUCUGAUGUGAAAGCCCACGGCUCAACCGUGGAGGGUCAUUGGAAACUGGGGAACUUGAGUGCAGAAGAGGAAAGUGGAAUUCCACGUGUAGCGGUGAAAUGCGUAGAUAUAUGGAGGAACACCAGUGGCGAAGGCGACUUUCUGGUCUAUGACUGACGCUGAGGUGCGAAAGUGUGGGGAGCAAACAGG